rnacentral:rRNA from 1 species
GACGAACGCUGGCGGCGUGCCUAAUACAUGCAAGUCGAACGAGUGGCGGACGGGUGAGUCAUGUCUGGGAAACUGCCUGAUGGAGGGGGAUAACUACUGGAAACGGUAGCUAAUACCGCAUACCAUCAGAUGUGCCCAGAUGGGAUUGGCUAGUAGGUGGGGUAAUUGCUCACCAAGCCGACGAUCCCUAGCUGGUCUGAGGGGAUUACCAGCCAGACUGGAACUGAUACACGGUCGAGACUCCGACGGGAGGCAGCAGUGGGUAGUAUUGCACAAGGGGCGAAAGCCUGAUGCAGCCAUGCCGCGUGUGUGAAGAAGGCCUUCGGGUUGUAAAGCACUUUCAGCGAGGAGGCUUUACUCGCAGAAGAAGCACCGGCUAACUCCGUGCCAGCAGCCGCGGUAAUAC